GAACGUUGGCGGCGUGGAUGAGGCAUGCAAGUCGCGCGUGAAAGUCCCUUCGGGGGCGAGUUAAGCGGCGGACGGGUGAGCGAUACGUACUCAAGCUGCCCUCGAGACGGGGAUAACGACGGGAAACCGUCGCUAAUACCCGAUUCAUCUGUUGGGCUGCAUGGCUUGACAGAGAAACGGUGGGGACCCUUCGGGGCCUGCUGCUCGGGGAUGCGAUUACGGCCUAUCAGCUAGUUGGUGGGGUAACGGCCUACCAAGGCGACGACGGGUAGCCGGCCUGAGAGGGUGGUCGGCCACACUGGGACUGAGACACUGCCCAGACUCCUACGGGAGGCUGCAGUCGAGAAUCUUCCGCAAUGGGCGAAAGCCUGACGGAGCGACGCCGCGUGUAGGAUGAAGGCCUUCGGGUUGUAAACUACUGUCACGGGUUAUGAAUGUGCAUGCAUAAACAGUGCAUGCAUUGACGUAAGCUCGGAAGGAAGCACCGGCUAACUCUGUGCCAGCAGCCGCGGUAAUACAGAGGGUGCAAACGUUGUUCGGAAUUACUGGGCAUAAAGCGCGCGUAGGCGGCGAUGUAAGUGUAGGGUGAAAUCCCACGGCUUACCCGUGUGAAUUGCCCCGCAUACUGCAUUGCUCGAGUGUGGUGGGGGAGAGCGGAACUCCUGGUGGAGCGGUGAAAUGCGUAGAUAUCAGGAGGAACACCGGUGGCGAAGGCGGCUCUCUGGUCCACUACUGACGCUGAAGUGCGAAAGCUAGGGUAGCGAACGGGAUUAGAUACCCCGGUAGUCCUAGCCGUAAACGAUGGGCACUAACUUGAGGUCUCCCUGUGGGAUCUCAGGUGUAGCAAAUGUGAUAAGUGCCCCGCCUGGGGAGUAUGGUCGCAAGGCUAAAACUCAAAGGAAUUGACGGGGGCUCACACAAGCGGUGGAGCAUGUGGUUUAAUUCGAUCAACGCGAAGAACCUUACCCAGGCUUGACAUGCUGGGAUUACCUCGGUGAAAGCUGAGGGAUUGCCUUCGGGUGUAACCAGCACAGGUGUUGCAUGGCUGUCGUCAGCUCGUGUCGUGAGAUGUCGGGUUAAGUCCCUUAACGAGCGAAACCCCUGCCACUAGUUGCUAACGGGUGAAGCCGAGGACUCUAGUGGGACCGCCGUUGUUAAGACGGAGGAAGGCGGGGACGACGUCAAGUCAUCAUGGCCCUUACGCCUGGGGCUACACACGUGCUACAAUGGUUGGGACAAAGGGAAGCGAAGUCGUAAGGCGAAGCAGAUCCCAAAAACCCAACCCCAGUUCGGAUUGCAGGCUGAAACUCGUCUGCAUGAAGUUGGAAUCGCUAGUAAUCGCGGAUCAGCUAUGCCGCGGUGAAUAUGUUCCUGAGCCUUGUACACACCGCCCGUCAAGUCAUGAAAGCUGAGAGUGCCCGAAGUCGUUUGCCUAACCGCAAGGAGGGCGACGCCGAAGGCAAGCUCGGUGAUUGGGACUAAGUCGUAACAAGGUA
rnacentral:rRNA from 1 species